rnacentral:lncRNA from 1 species
AUGCUGCAUUUUACAUAGAGAGCUAUCUGCCAGUGUUAUUUUCCCGUGGCCCUGAGUGUGACCAUUGGUUUCAUCUUUCACCAGUUCUAUGUGAUGCAGCCCAAAGUGUCUGCUAUCUACACUGAUCAGGAUCAGAAUCCAGAACAUAUUUACAGGACCUUCUAAACCCACCUGAGAAAUAAGUCACAGCUAGAUCUAAAAGAUCAGCUAAGUAAGGCCUUUUAAUAGGACUUGUGCCACAGCAUCG